GCGUCGGUGGUGCAACGGUUUAGCACAUACUCCUGGAUAGAGUAGGAUCCGGGUUCAAAUCCCGGCUGACGCA